AUUGAACGCUGGCGGAAUGCUUUACACAUGCAAGUCGAGCGGCAGCGCGGGGGCAACCCUGGCGGCGAGCGGCGAACGGGUGAGUAAUAUAUCGGAACGUACCCCGUCGUGGGGGAUAACACAGCGAAAGCUGUGCUAAUACCGCAUACGACCUGAGGGUGAAAGCGGGGGAUCGCAAGACCUCGCGCGAUGGGAGCGGCCGAUAUCGGAUUAGCUUGUUGGUGAGGUAAAGGCUCACCAAGGCGACGAUCCGUAGCUGGUCUGAGAGGACGACCAGCCACACUGGAACUGAGACACGGUCCAGACUCCUACGGGAGGCAGCAGUGGGAAUUUUGGACAAUGGGGGCAACCCUGAUCCAGCCAUUCCGCGUGAGUGAUGAAGGCCUUCGGGUUGUAAAGCUCUGUGGAGAGGGACGAAUAAGGGCUGGCUAACAUCCAGCUUGAUGACGGUACCUCUUAGUCAAGCACCGGCUAACUCUGUGCCAGCAGCCGACGG
rnacentral:rRNA from 1 species